rnacentral:lncRNA from 1 species
AAAAAAAAUAAAAAAAAAAAAAAAAAAAAAAAAAAAAAAAAAAAAAAAAAUAAAAAAAAAAAAAAAAAAAAAAAAAAAAAAAAAAAAAAAAAAAAAAAAAAAAAAAAAAAAAAAAAAAAAAAAAAAAAAAAAAAAAUAAAAAAAAAAAAGUAAAAAAAAAAAAAAAAAAAAAAAAAAAAAAAAAAAAAAAAAAAAAAAAAAAAAUAAAAAAUAAAAAAAAAAAAAAAAAAAAAAAAAAAAAAAAAAAAAAAAAAAAAAAAAAAAAAAAAAAAAAAAAAUAAAAAAAAAAAAAAAAAAAAAAAAAAAAAAAAAAACAACAAAAAAAAAAAAAAAAAAAAAAAAAUAAAAAAAAUAAAAAAAAAAAAAAAAAAAAAAAAAAAAAAAAAAAAAAAAAAAAAAAAAAAAAAAAAAAUAAAAAAAAAAACAACCAAAAAUAACAAAAAAAGAAAUAAAAAAAAAGACACACUUAUCCCCGGGAUACAACCUUGCGGGGGGCACGCACCAAUGCUACACGCCACGUCGCCGCGAUGCCGUUUGUUUCACCGGCCACUCCCGGUAUCCCCACCGUCCACCCAAUGACAGCUAACCGCGGGUCCGCCCGAACCGGUUGACUGGUGAUGGGCGGUAGACGAACCCGUUACCCAAUUAAGUUACCGGCUAUAUUAUUUCACAGCACAGUGCUUAUACUAUUAUGAUAUAACAUGAUGGUCCAAAACUAAACUUUUGUAAGUACAACUUUUAAACUAUGAACAAUUCAAAAUGUCAUUAACUUAUUCAUUUAAACAAAUUGAAAAAUUGAGUAAUAAAAUCAAAAUUUUAAACAAUUGGAUAGCCGAUUAAAAAUGAUAUAUAAGGAAAAACUUUAAAUACCACCCAUGCGGUUUCACACUUUCUCACUUUAGGCCCUUAUGGUUUAAAGUAUAUCAAUUAGUGUCAUGUGGUUUUAUUUUUAUCUUUUUAUUAUUGAUUUCACUAAUUUUUUCGUUAAAUCAAUGACAAAGUUAAAACUAAAAGAUAUUAAAAUGAAUAUUCGAUAAAUUUAGAUGGGGUAUCUGAAGUUUUUGGUAUAUAAUUUAACGAAAUAUUAACGAAAAAGCUGACGAAAAGAUAAAAAUGAAACUAAGCACUUUAAACCACAAAGUACUAAAGUGAGAAAAUGCAAAACCACAUGGGUGGUAUUUGAAGUUAAUCGAUAUAUAAUACAGAUAAUCUUUGCACAAUAAGUUCUUUAUAUUCCAACGUGUUUUUGAGCCCAUUUUAUUGAGAAAUACUAAGCCUAAGGUCAAAAAAAAUGGUAAUUGCUACAAGCCGUUGUCCAAGAGUCGUAGGGUUUACUAAUUCUUUAGGUUUUUAGUAAAACAAUUAGGUCAGAUAAUGACAGGUAACUAAUAAAAUUAUUAAGUUUAAUUAAUUUGGCAAAAUUUAAUAACAUUAAUAAUCAUAUUUUAGCAAAUAAAUUUGGACUAAUUCAACAAUCAAUAACUAACACAGUUAUUAAUUUUAAUUGAAAUUUUAAACAUGACUAACUAUACAAAUUCAAUCAAAAAAAAUUAAUUUGAGGGGGUCUUAAUAUAAAAAGUAAAAAGUGAGCGAUCUUUUUCAAAACUUCUUAGAAGUUUGCACAUCCAAAUUAACUAAAAACUAAAAAUUUUAAAUUCUAGAAUAAAGUAAAAAAUAAGAUAUACAAAUUUUUUUUUGAUAGCCAGGUGGGCUUUUCUGAUUUGCUGUUUUUUAUUUUAGGGUUGUAGUAUUUCUAUGCAUCCAGGGGUGUAGACAAUUUGGUCCCGCAAGCAAUUCUCCCCUAUAUAAAAUGAUGGCCCCCUGUUUCUACUUUCUACGGGUCCCUCCAAUUGGAUUCUACCCCACCACUUUUUCCGCUGGGUCGCAUUCGUGUAACAUUUAAAACUUCUUCUUCUUCUUUUUCUUCUUCUUCAAUUUUUUACUUCUUUUAUUUGAUCUUCUUCUUUCUGGGAGAGAUCGGGAGCCAUGGCGAGAUCGCCGGGCGCAAUCAUGGCGCUGAUGUUUAUUCUCAUGGCUGCGGCGGCGGCGGGGGAGCUCUCGCGGCUCGAACACGAUUUGAAGAACGAUGGAUCGCUUAAGAUCCUUGUGGUUGGAGAUUGGGGGAGAAAAGGAACGUACAAUCAAUCGGAAGUCGCAACCCAGGUUUUCGUUUUUAUUUUUAUUUUUAUUUUUUUGUGCAUUUUAUUUGAUACAAAUAAUGUAAAAUUUAGAAAAAACUUCAAAUAUCGCUCUUAUGAUUCCGUAUUUUCUUACUUUAUUGUUUAUUGUCUUUGUGUUUAAAGUAUAUCAAUUUAUUAUUUUGUGGUUUCUUUUUUUUAUUAUUUAUUUUACUAAUUUUUUUUGUUAAAUAAGUAAUAAAGUUAAAAUUAAAGGAUAUUAAAGUGAAUAUUCGAUAAAUUUAGAUGAGAUAUUUGAAAUUUUUUGUGUAUAAUUUAACGAAAUAUUAAUGAAGAAGCGGGUGAAAAAAAAAAUUAUAAAAUACAAACUUCAUAUAUUUUAAAUUAUAAAAUAUUAAAGUAAAAAAAAUACGAAAUCAUGUAGAUGAUAUUUGAAGUUUACCUAAAAUUUAUUGAGCUGUAGUUCUGGGGCUAGUUUUGUUUCAAUCCUUGGAUGGCUUUCUUUGUAACAGGAAUUUGAUGAGCCGUUUGAUUUGACAGGAGCAUUAUAAUGGGAAUCAAAUGACAUAUUCUAAUUUUGUUGUUUUAUGAUAAAAUACGAGCCAAUUUUUUUAUUUUUUAAAUGGAAGAGUCAUCAAAUUGGUUAAAUUAUAAACGUUAGGAGGUUGAACAAUAUUAUUUAACUAAUUUUUAAAUUUUUAGAUGGGAGUGUAAGAUUUAUAUUUCCAUCCCUUUGAUUUGUAGGAGCAUAAAAACAAAAAUCGUAUGACAUAUUCUAAUUUGUUGUGCCAUGAUAAAGUACGUGCGAAUUUUUUUUAUCGAUUAAAUUAUAAUCUUUUGUAGGUUGAACAAGGUUAUUAACUAGUUUUAAAUUUUAAGAGGGAGGAGUGUAAGAUUUACAUUUCAAAACGAGCCAUAUUUUUCAUUUUUUUUUCUUUCAAAAUUUAGUAUUUAUUUGGUUUGCUUUUUCAUAAUUAGUGAGGUGUAUUAUUACCCACUUAUUUGUUUUUGCAAAUUGGACUAUCAAAAUUUGUGACCCAAAUUUAAGAAAUUGCAUCAAAGAAAACUUGCCAACGUAUUAUUGUUAUGGAACUUUUUUGUGGGGGGGUCAUCAAAUCAACUUUCUUGGACCAAAUUGCAAUCGAUAAAAAGUUGGUGGUUUUUUUUUUUGAAAAUCAAAAUAAAGUUAGAGAGUGAAAGCACAAUUAGCAAAAAAAUUGGUUGCCUUUUUUGGUUUCAAUCCUUUUUUUUUCCUGAUAUUUAAUACUUUUUUUUGGUCAUUUCUCAUAAUCAAUAAGGUUUCUUUAUGCAACAAAUAAUGUUCUUCACCACCUUUGAAUUGUAUAUGCUUUCCUUCUACAAGCAAGUAACAAGGAAUGGGGUUUAAGCAUGUUGGGGGAGAUACCUUUUUUGGGACAUUGGGAACAUAAAUUUUUGUCUUUUUUUUUUCCUUUAAUCACAAGAAACACAAAUGUAGGUGAAAAGUUUUCUUUUUGAUUUUUUUUUUUUUUUUUUAAGUUAAUGUAUGUAAAGUGUUGGUUUCUUCUCUGUUUCAAUUUUUUAUCACAUGGGUUGAAGGUGAUAUAUUCCUCACAGUUCCCUUAUGGCAAAGUAGCUCUUUGCUUUCAUUUAUGGAAACUUUGUAAUCCUUUCAAACAUUCUGUAUCAAUCUUUUUUGUGGAAAAGAUUCCUCUAUUAGUUUUGUAAUCUCCCUCAUAAUUAUUUUUUGAACUCUUUGAUCUAUAAAUAACUAUAGUUUUGUGACUUGCAAAAGAAACUAACAAAGCUUUUGAUUUUGAUUUGGUUCAUAGAUGGGAAUGAUUGGGGAGGAACUUGACAUAGAUUUUGUAAUAUCUACUGGGGAUAAUUUCUACGAGGACGGCCUAACCGGCGUCGACGACAAAGCAUUUGAGGAGUCAUUUUCCAAUAUAUACACUGCAAAGAGUUUACAGAAGCCAUGGUACCUCGGUAAUGUUCUGAACUUGUCAUGAGCUGUUUCAAAAUGUAUUUCUACAAAGAAUUUUAUGUUCUUUUUGUUGUCUCCUUGAAAAUUUUCUUUUAUUCUUCUUUUCUGGGAGCAGUUCUUGGGAAUCAUGACUACAGGGGAGAUGUGCUGGCACAAUUAAAUCCUGUUCUUCAAAAGAUUGAUAGCAGAUUUAUUUGCAUGAGAUCUUUCAUUGUCAAUACAGGUAGAGUUUUUCAUUAUUUUUUUUUCUUUUUGCAUGUUUCGCUCAGAUUGUGUAUCACUUUAGGAAUUAAACCUUGAAUAACUAGUCUCCAUCUUUUUUUUGUGUGUGUAUAGAUAUUGUGGAUUUCUUUUUCGCGGACACAACUCCAUUCCAACUGAAGUAUUGGACCGAUCCAGAAGAUGAUCACUACGAUUGGAGGGGAGUUGCACCGCGCGAAACUUACAUCUCUAAUCUCUUGAAGGUGAACUUUAUUUUUUAUGAUUGACACUCAACUUUUGUGUAGUUUGAACUUCAUUUUUUUUCGAUCAGCGCUCAACUUUUCUGAAGUUUCAAGUAAUUUCAGCUGAGGAGGUCUCUAACACAUGUUUUUACCCUGUUCUUUUAAAGUUGGUUAGUAAAAGAGGUGGAUUCCGUUGUGCUAAACCUUUUUCGUGGCUUGAUUAGGAUUUGGAUUCUGCUCUGAAAGCAUCAACAGCAACAUGGAAGAUUGUGGUGGGGCACCACACAAUGAGGAGUGUAAGCGAGCAUGGCGACACCGAGGAGCUUCUGCAGUUACUUCUUCCCAUCCUCAAGGUAGUGAACUUUCCUUUUUUCUUUUUCUUUUUUUUGGGAUCAAUUAGAAAGACACUAAUUCGCCACGGUAAUUAAUCUUGUUUCUUUCAAUUUGUGUAGGCAAAUGGCGCGGACAUGUACAUCAAUGGGCAUGAUCAUUGCCUUGAGCACAUUAGCAGCAAUGACAGGUAAAUUGUGUACUAUUAUCCUCAUACUGUAGCAGAUUAAGGUAAAUUGAGCACAAGGCUUGUUCUAGUUUUGGUGAGAAAAUGCCUUUUUGUUUUCUUCUUUUCAGUUAAGCUCUCUCCUAUUGCGUAGCAAUCCAAUGGCAAUGAUUAGUUGUCAUGGCCUGUAAAAUAGCUUGUCUACUCCCUGUUUUGGUUGGCUUCCAGAUUAGUUUAUCUACUCUGCAAAGCAAUGACUAGACAAUGACUAGACAUUAAAAAGCAAAUAAUUAGUCUAGAGAGUUGCUGCAGAAGGAAGCUGAUAUGUGCUUCUGUGGUCGGAAAGGAAAACUUCUAUUUUGAAUCUUUUGUUUCUUAGAACAGCUGAACUCAAACAGUACUUCUAUUGAAAUUCCAUGCAAGCCAGGCAGCUCGCAUAAUUUGGCAUAAGGGUUUAUUCUAUAUUUCGUCGUGCUCCAGUCAAACAUGCUUCAAGAAUAACUUCGAGCUCAAAAAAUUUUGUUUUUUUUGCUCUAAAUUCAUGAAUUGCUUUAAAUAAACAGUCCGAUCCAAUACUUUACGAGCGGAGGGGGUUCAAAGGCCUGGAGGGGCACGUUCACGCCUAACUCCGACACGCUGCGAUUCUUCUACGACGGGCAAGGGUUCAUGUCCCUUCAACUGACCAAGGCCAAGGCCGACAUCGUAUUCUACGAUGUAUUUGGAAGCGUACUGUACCAAUGGAGCAUGACCAAAUUUAGCAAUCAGAUUCUGCAAUUUCCAAUGUAGGAAGAAGAAAGAAAAAGAGACAUUUUAGUGUGGCCACCAGCAGUUCAUGUAAAUAUAUGUAUAUAUAUAUAUAUAUCAUAUUAGCAAUUUAGAAUUGAAGUAGGAUUUAAACUUGGUGGUGCAUAUAUAUAGAGUGUGACACCCAGAAUGUUGUUAAUUUGUCGGGUGAUUGCUAUAUUAGUAUUCAAAAACAAAAAGGAAAUGGGGGUCAUAUAUACCCAUGGACUAAUCCUAUAAAUCAUAUUUUUAUGCUUCAGACAUUGUACUACUGCUUAUGAAAUGAAUGAUCUUGUUCUAGACUUAGUGGUCCAUGUUCUUCAGCAGUUCAUCAUUUAAUUGCAUUUCCAUUUUAGUUGUUACUGAUGUGACAAAUGAAUAUGUCUGUUUGCUGCACAUUCUCUGCCAAUGAUUCAUCAAAAUAAUUAAGCUGCUGCUGGGAUGUGAACAAACAGACAAAUUGGAAGAUCAUCUGAGAAGGAGAUAGCAUGAUCUCCACCAUCCAAUUAAGUAUAUUUGCUUGCUGAUUUGAAAUUAUUAUUAUUUCUCUUUAAAGCUGAUUGGAUGUCGAAUGCCGAUAGUUUGUAAUGACCAACAAAAGUUGCUAAAUAAUACAAAAAAAGAUUUAUAUUAUUCUAUAUAUUCAAUACGCUCUUUCAACUCUGAACUCGAAAUUAGAGAAAAUUAAAAUAAUUCUAAAAAUCAAGGACCUCAUGAUAUAAUACUAUGUAUAAUAAAAGCACAAUUUCUAGCAAUUUAAUAUUUAAGAGAUAAGCUAUUGUUUUAUAUUAUUUUUAUAUAAUAUCAUCACACGAGGCUUUUAAAUUUCUUUUUUUUUUCUCCUCACUCUCUCAAAAAAAGAAAAAGAAAAAGAAAAAGGAAAUCUCUUAUAAAAAUAGCCCUGAUCGAAUUUCCCGCUGGUUGUCACACUUCACCUACGCUUCCGUGGUUCUGAGAAUUACACGCACCUUCUCUCUCCUCUCUCUCUCUCUCUCUCUCUUCCUCCAUUGUGAAACGGAUUAGAGCUCGAUCUCAUACACAAUCUCAUUGUUGCUUUUGUUAAUUCUCUUCAAGGAUCUUGGAAAAUGGAGGUGAGUUUAUGGUUAUCUAAGUUUUAUUAUAUAUUUUCCCUUCGGUUUUUCUUUAAUAUCUUCUUAAUUUUUAUGGAAGAGUGAUGAUGAUUACGAUAGUGGGAUUCGUGGGAUUUAUUUUAUUACAUUUGCAAGAUCCAUUUGGAUAUAUUCCAAAGAAGAAAUUAUAUUAAAAAAAAAAUGUAGUUCCACAAUAUUAGCUUUCGGAGAAAAGUGGUUAUCUUACCUGAUAUGAUAUCUGAAACAAUUUUAAGCCUAUUCAAUUUCAAAAGGUCUUCGGCUCGAUUCACUACAUUCAUUAUUGAAUGGGCUACAUUCUCAUCUAUACUUUAUUUGACCUUUUGAGAGUGAAUUUGGAGGGAUAUCGAAAAUAAAAAUAAAAAAAGGCCCCACAUUCUUGUCCCUCUUUUUGUGGCAUGUGCAUGCCAUGGCCCACCAGCUUUGUUGAAUCCAAAUACCACCCAAGUCGCUUAGGGGCGUUUAGAUUGACGAAUGAAUUUUUUUAAAGUAUAAUUAUUUUUUAUCAUUUAUUUUAAUGUAAUUUAUACCGUCUGAAAGUUAAAUUUAAUUAUUUUUUUUGUUUAUUUUCGUAUAACUUUAUGCCGGUGAAAUUAAGUUUUUAAGUUCCAUUGUUUAUUUUGAUAUAAAUAAGUAGAUUUCGUUACCUCUUAAAUAUAGUGAUAAACUUAUUCCUAUAAAAUCCAACCUAUUAAAUGAUUAAUUCCUUAUUAUUAUUUGAAAGUAAUCUUAACCCAUUAUAAAAAAAAGUAACUCUGAUCCAUUGUAAAAGAAGUAGAGUUUAAUUUUUAAUAUUUAAUAAAUAUUUCGGAAAAAGUUGAGUGUGAUUGAACUUAAAUUGUCACUUUAGAAGAGGAAGUUAAAAAGUAAAUGAAGUGGAGGUCUAACGUAACUUGAAUUAUGUUAUUUUUUUGACUCACAUCAAAACAAGUAUCGAAGGUGAUGAAACAUGAGUUCCACUCCUUUACUUACACUAACAAACCAAACAUCCCCUUAGGAGUUGUUCCUUUUUUUUCAAAAAGUAUUAAAAACAAAAUUUUUUUUUUCAUGAAAAACUCUUCUUUCAGUUUUUGGCCUAUUUGAUUCAAAAAAAAAUUAUAAAAAAAACUUCUUUUUCAAAUUUUAUAGAAAACUAGCAUUUUCGUUUUCCAAAAAAGGGAAACACUAAUUUUUCAAAAAAGAUGAAAAAAAAAUUUCCCAGAAAGCCUAAUAUUUUUUUGCAACCAAACAGAGAGUUAGAUUUCAAUAAUUUUACUUUAGAUUGUUCUCUUUGUUUCUUCCCUUUUCUUAAUUUCCAUGUGAAGCCUCUAAUGGAAAAAAUUAACUAUACUGCAGGUCCCAGCUGUGGACCAGAACAAUCUGAAGAAGGGAGGAGAGGAUCCUCCUCCAUCUACUGUUACACCCAAUUGGACUAUUGAUGUUUCAGAUGUGAGAUAUUUACUAUGAUUCUAGUAAUGUGGUGGUAGUGAUAUAUACUAUCCAUAACAUAUCUUCAUUUAUUUCUCUCAUAUCUUUUCUGAAAUGGAGUCGAUAACUGUCGAAACAGUUUCCGCCGUUACCGGAACAAGAAAGUUCAAAUUAUGGUUAAGACACAAUGUGUACAUGUUCUUAUAAUAUCAAAACUAGCUUUGCAAUGUUUAUGAGUUUGUAGCUCCUUUUGUUUUUUUUUAAAUAUCUUUCCAUUUGUUACCAUUUAGAUUAUGUGUAAUUCACACUUUCUUUUGUGUCAAAAGUUAAACUGGGUAAAUUGGUGGAGUCAUGUGCUCUUAUCCUGUAUCUUGGUGCAGGUGAGAACUGUAAAAGUGAGCAAUGUAUCCUUGGUUGCAUCAGAAAUCGAUAUCAGGGAGUUCUUUUCCUUCUCCGGCGAUGUCGAAUACGUCGAAACGCGAAGGUUAUUUCCCUUUCUGCUCAUUACAUAUUUGUAUCUUUUGUCUGAAAUGCGCUUCUGAAAUCUCUCCAAAAAUCAGCUAAAAAUUCUGAAACCUGAAUUUACCUCAUCUACCUACGAGAAAAGCGAUCGGUAUCGCGUGUACUGCAAUGUGCACUAUGUAAUUAUCUUCCUUCUUUUCCUUCAGAAUUGAAUCUGAAAGGUCGCAGAUCGCUUACGUGACUUUCAAGGACUCACAGGGAGCAGAUACAGCUUUGCUUCUUUCGGUGAGUUCGAGUUUAAAGCAUUGCGAUAUCACUCGAUUUUAUGAUUUUUUUCCACUUCUGAAUCUGAUUCCUUUUUGGUGUAUGAACUUCGUUUGCUUUUGAAUGCAGGGAGCGACGAUAGCCGAUCUUUCGAUCUCUAUAACACCCUGCGAGAAUUAUCAGCUACCUCCCGAAGCUUACGCACAAAUAACGGUAACUCGCGAUCUUUAGCUUUCGUGUUCAUAAAUGAUUUUAGUAUGAAUCCAUGUCGACAUACAUACUACAUACAUACGUAAAUGCGCAGAGUAAAAUGGACUGACACUUCUCGAGCUUACAUUAGAGUUUUAAUUUGAUUUUAAAGGUAAAAACGUACAGAAAUUGUCUGAAUUAUAGAUCUUUUCGAGUUGGUUAUUCAAUAUGUCAAAUUUUUUAUUUUACAAUUUGAAUCGGUCAACGGCAUAUUAAUUUCAAAAUUUGAGCGCUUUGUUUAUCUUUAUAGAUUUAGUUAGUAUACUUUAUACAAUUUUCGUAACUAUAAAGUAAAGUAAGAGUUGUUAGCUUAAAUUUUAAAAUUAAAAUACCGUUGGCCGACUAAAUUAAAUCAAAUAAAUUAAAAGAUUGAAUAAUAAUAUUAAAAUUUUAAAAGUUUGGAUAGCUGAUUUAAAAUGAUCAUUGUUUAUAUAAGUUCGGUACGCUUUUACCUAAAAUAAAAUAAGAUAAAAAUCCUGAGUUUUUCUAGUCUUGAUAUUGGUUUAUCACCUGUUUAAAGUGUUAAAAAAUUGGUACCUUCGAACAAAAUUCCUCUGUUGAAAUGGAUGGAAAUGUAUGAAUAAGCAGGAGCGUGAUCCCCGAAAAAUAAGAGCUUGUUUGGUUUCAUUUCUGCUUCAUAUUUUACCCGACUUGUUGAUAACGAAAAAAAUAAAAUAAAAUAAAAUCUUCUGUUACAUAGGAAAGUAGAAAUGAGAUUCCGAGCCAUAAAAGCAGAAGCUUAGAGAUAAAUUCAAUAGUUAAAAUGUAAUAUACCAUUUUGACCGCCAAAAUUUAAAUUUUUAGUACCCAAGUGCAAGUACCAAAUAUAGCUUAAACUGUAUCAAAAUGUUGGCUCAACUCAGUUAAACUCUCUCAUGCAUGCAUGUGUGGUCUAGCAAAAAGAAGGGAAGCUCUCGGCAACCGCGGAAUCCGCGGUGCGGAAGGCGGAGGAGGUGGUGAGCACGAUGCUGGCGAAGAGCUUCGCCGCCGGCAAGGACGCGCUCCGGCACGCCCGCUCCUUCGACGAGCGCCACCGCCUCCUCUCCAGCGCGUCCGCCACCGCCGCGUCCCUCGACCGCCGCAUGGGCCUGACCGACAAGUUCAGCACGGGCACGGCCGUCGUCGGCAGCAAGGUCAGAGAGGUCGGCGGCCAGCUCGGGGUGUCGGAGAAGGCGCGGUCGGCGAUCGCCGCCGCCGAGCAGACGGCCGCGGCUGUCAUGGGCAGCCGGUACGUGUCGGCGGGGGCGGCGUGGGUGUCCGGCGCGAUCGGGGCGGUGGCGAGGACGGCGGGGGAGGUCGGAUCAAUGACUAGGGAGAAGGUGGAGAAAGCCGAGGUGCAGAGGAGGGAAACAUGAGUUCAAUUUUCUUCCAUCUCCUUAAAUUACGCUUUAAAAAAAUGUAGACGAAGCUAAAUUUCGAUUUAAACUUCAAGGACCAAAUUCACUCAACUUUUUUAUGUUACUUUUCCAUUAUUUAAACUAAUUGUUCGUGUAGAAUAAAAUAUAAAGUGAUUAUGCAAAAUUUGCGCAUCCGGGGAAUCGAACCCCGGUCAGUACCGUGGGAGGGUACUAUGAUACCACUACACCAGAUGCGCUGUUGACAUAAUCUUUUUAAUUUUAGUAUUUUAAUUUUGCUCAAUAUUCAAUUCAGAUUCAACCAAAUCAAGUUAUUUUGUGCUAAACAAGUCUCAUUGUUGUCGUCUUUUACUUCGUGGCUUGAAGCUGAAUAAAUCUGCUAAACUAUUGCAGUAUGCGUGGAAGAGAUACUAGAAAACCAAGCAUCUUAAAGUGAGUUGUUUUACAUUUUUCGUCUUUGAUGAAUCUACAGUAGGACAUCAGCAUGAGCGGAAGUACGUGCUAAGCUCUUCAUACUUGCGUGUCAUUUUCGACGAUAAAUUAUCUGAAUCGAGGAUCGACACUGUCAUGUACACAUUAUCUAAGAAGAUGAAGAGCAAUGCAGGAAAAAACAACAACGGAUAAUGGUUUUGCAACUGGAGCUAGCAAGGAUGCAUAUGAACUCGUUACACCUAUAUAUUUAUGUUAAACUUAUCACACUUCAAGAAGUAAACCAACAACUAUUACCAUAGAUAUAUGAAUCACAACAACCUUAUAAGAUUUAUUCAAUACAAUAAACUCAGGUUCAUAAUAAUUAUAUAUAAUAAUUUUAGAGUAAUUGUUGCACCGAUUUGUCCCGCUUGGUUGGUAAUUAGUUCUUCGUGGGCCAAUGACUUAGCUUCACAUCUUGAAUUGGUGUAAGCUGAGCUAAACCACCAUAAUCCUCUGGAAGUGCUUCCUCCCCAAUUUCUUUAAUCAUCUCUUUUUUUUGUGCGUCAUUGUUCACAAUGACAACCUACGCACAAAGAAAAGAUUAUGUGAGAAAUUAAAGUUAUUUUUGAACUAUAGAAGAUUUUUUUAAGUAUAUAUAGAAAUAAUUCUCUCUAUUUAAACAAAAAAAAGUUUCAAUAGUUAGAUACGCACGGCAGGAGCACACAAACACACAUGAAGAGAGAGAGAGAGAGAGGGGGGGAGAGAGAGUACUUUUUCCAAAAUGGCCUUCUCGAGGAAUGCGGAGAUCAUCUUCCAAAUUCCGAUGAAUAUCCAAGGCAUGCUUAAGAUGUACAACUUCUCCAGCUGUUCCGGAUAGUACGACUGCAUCGAACAUCAUGAAUUUAAAAAGUAAGAAAAUAGAACAUUGUUUGCACGCAGAAUCUCCAGAUGAAUAUUAAAUUUCGUGAUGUCAAAUUAUUUUUGUUAAGAAUUUUCUUCAGAAAAUGCAUGAUUUAGCUAAGAUGAGUGAGCUAUAAGGACAGUUAUAAAAUAUUAAAAUUAUAGUAGCUAGGGAUAUAUACCUGUAGAUAUUGAAAACCUAUGAGAAAACCAUUAGCAUCCAAGUUCUUCAACCCAAGAUGUUGCAGGUCAAUAAUGACAACCAUUUUCUCACUUCCACCCCCUUCUUCUUUAGCACCACUACAAGGCAUAAUACAAUGACUUCAACUUAUACAAUUAUCUAUCUAACAAAAUAUUAACAUGAGCUUAACAUCAUGCACUAUAUUACUUUAGUAAUCACUCACAUUGAAGAGCAUAAAAUGAGGCUAAGUGAACUGCUUCAAGCAAUAAAAUCAUUUGCAAACCUCACAAUUACUUUGAACCAAGUUGGUGUUGGUGUUCGGCUCAAAUACCAAUUAUUUCUCUCAAUCCACAAAGAGAAGAGAAUGUAAUGUGUUACAAAGCAAAAAUUGAACCAUAACUGUGAUAUAUUAAAGGGUUAAAAAAUGCAAAAUUUUAUUAUAGUUUCUAAAGUCUUUCAAUGUUAAUUUGCAUAAUUGUUCUUGAAAACAUCUUUAUCUUUACAUAUGUAUCAAUCCUUCUACUAAAUGUUUUGAAUGAAAGAUAGCUAUAUUUAGUAUUAAUAGAUCAAUUUUUUUUGCACUGCUAACAUGGUUUUACCUUGCUAUUGUCUUGUCCAACAUAUAGGCCACAAACUCUGCCAAAGGAAGAGCAAACAAAAAAUCAAUAAAAUUAAUAAUUAAUUAAGAACAACAACAACAAAAGUAGAAAUACAUAAAUAUCCUUCCUUCGAGUUAGUUUAGUGCUAACUUGAACAAACUAGACAUGAUUUAAACUACUUAAUCUUUCACCCCCCAUUUUUUUCCCUUUGAUAAAUAUAGGGUGUAAAUAGAGCAAUAUUGAGAAGAGAACCUAGUAUAAAGAAAUGUUGAAGUGGAUUAAUUUCUACCAAGCACGGGGCCAAUAAUUUAACUCGACUUGAACCCACUAGAAAGUAACCAAUAUAGUUUUGGUUAGUUCUCACUGGCUACACUGAAUAGUUCUACCACGUGCUAGCACUGUGUGUUGAACGUAUCAAUCCCACAUUAAUUACGUAUAAGAAUUCUGAUCUGUAACUGACCGUUCCUAGAGCAAGUGGCAAAGGGUUUGAUGGUUGAUAUUCGAGACCCAAGUUCGAAUCCUAAUUGAUUCACAUUUCCAGCUAAGUUUAUUUCUAAAUAAAAUAAACGAACCGGGUAGCAUGCUACCUAUCUCUCUCAAAAAAAAAAAGAUUUUUGAUUUGUAUAUAACAUGAAAGAGUUACUUCAUUUAUCAACUUAAGCUUUUGAAUUGAUCCUAAUUAGGUAUUGGAGGUCAAAAGUUUGCAAGAGUAGGGAGUAGUAACACUAAAGAGGACAAAUCAAUCAUCCACCUCCAGUGUUCUUGUGUAAGGGAGAAUUUGGCUAAAAAAGUACUUCUUUAAUAAGCAAGUGAAAAGUAAUGUAGGCCUCUUUUCAAGUCAACAGCACAUUAGAAGAAGUUUACACCAGCAAAUUUAUACCAUAAACUGAUCAUUUGAUUCUUAUCUAUAUAUCUAAUAUAUUUUCAGCAUGUGCGUAACAAUAUUCUUCAGUUUAAAUAAACCAUUUUUUCCUCCUCAUUUUUUUUUCUCUACUGAAAAGGACUUGGUGAGUUUUACUUCCAAAAAACAGCCAAAAAAGGAGUCAUCAACUCGAUUCCUGGUCUCACUUAAGUAGCAGCUGUUUUCAUAGAUGAUGCCAAUAUACUAUGUUGUUGUAGCCUCUGUGUCUACAAGAGUAUAUAUAAGGUUGCUUAUAAUAUUUGACCUACCUAGAAUCAAGGAUAUAAAUGCUAUGGCAUGGAGUCGUACCGACAAACUUUCUAACACGAUUAGACAUGUGUGUAUCGUGCGGUAUUGAUAUAUGCUAGUUACAAAAAAUACCUGUAUACCGACAUACUAUAGCAUGGAAUAUUUUUUCUGACACAAAACUUAUUCUAAUUAUUGAAUAAUUAUUUAUUAAUUUAAAAGAAAAGAGAAUAUUGAGCCAUGCCAUUAAUACAAAAAUCGCAUUAUGCUGAUAUCUUAUCGGUAUGGUAUGUCAUAAUAGGUAUGAUCUGUAAUGAGCAGCACUUAAAAUAUUGCUUAGAAUUAUAAUAAUUAAAUCUUAUACUUUUUUUUUUUGAUUUGAGAGAGAUAGUUAGCUAAAACUGCUUGAUUUGUUCAUCUAAAGCAUUUUCCCUUUAUAAAAGUAAAAAUGCAUGGAAGCCCCUUCAACUAUAGGAUGUUCUAAAAUAGUCUCCUCAAGUAUUAUAUUUUUUCGGCCAUUAAUUGUCACACUUUUAUUUGCUAAAAACUAGUUAGAACUAUUAAUCAUCUAAUUUUUUAGACAAAGAAAUUAUUCAAUUCAAUAAAAAAUUGAAAAAAAAGAAAACGUUGAGUGAUUUCAAAAAUGGAUUGAGGGACCUUAAAAAGAAUUUACUGAGGAAACAAUAUUAGAGAUGUUACUCUUGAACUGGAGCUGGUCCUUGGGGGCGAAAUGCUUGCAGGCCUGGAGGAUAACAAGAGGGUGGCCAUCUUUUGUGGGGCGCUGCAGGUAGGCCUUCCGGGCCUCGAACUCGGCGGCGAUCUCCGCCUCGUCGACGCUCCCCGACGGCGCGAUCUCGACCCGCCAUUUCUCCCAAUCUGCGAACAUUUUCGCCGCCUUCUCCGGGCUCAUGGACUUGGCCCUCAAGAAUCUCAGGAGAGUCUCAUCAUCUCCGUAGUAAGAGCUCUGCAUUACGUAUUUACAUACACGCAAAUUAAGACUCAUUUUUUCCUUUCUUACCCCCGCAAAGGCGCAUUCGCGAAUACUUUUAAACAGGAAAAAAACGUAUAAAACUUAUCUGAACUAUGAUGUAUCUUUAUAUCACUACCUAAUCUUUGAAGUUCGGGUUUUGCCACUUAAUUUUUUGAAUUCAUUUGAUGACUCUCCUUUUCUUCGGAACUAGAGUUUUGCAUAGUUGAUCUUAGGCUAUAGUUUUAUCUAAAGUGAAUGAUGCAUCUUGUACCAGGAAAUUUUUUUGUUUUUAAAUCAUCAAUUGAAGGAAUCAAACGGUCAGAUUCCGAAAUUAAAACUUUCAAAGAUUAAGUUAUCGGACAAUACUUAAAAAGAUGCAUGCUACAGAGUGUAAAUAUAAAAUAUGGCACGAAUCUUAAAGCUCGCAGUGAAGACCUGGGAUGAUGAGCCCAUGUUCUGCAGCAAAUCCCGCAUCUGUGCUAAUGCCAUCUCGGCCUUGUUCUCCAUGAAUUAUGAGUCAGAGAGAGAGAGAGAGAGGGAGAGAGAGAUUAAAGUGCUAUGACAUAGCUUUGUAAUUCUAACUGCUUUUAUAUAUAUAUAUAUAUAUAAACAUUAAUUUGGACAACGUGUUGGACCGUGCAUUAUAGGUUGGGCAUUCAAAUUUCCUCACCAUUUUCAAUAAUUAAAAUUUUCCUCUCUUUAUUCCCCAUGUCAUUGUAUUUAUUUUCCGAACCUGGUCCGUGCACCAGCUAAUAUUACCGUGCGUGUGCUUAGUCCUCUUACAUCUCUACUUUCAAUUCCCCCUAAAAAUCAACCUAGAUUUUGCGCAGAAAAUGAAAUGGUAGAUCUUACUCGGCAGCGACUAUGCGAUUGAAAGUAGAGAUCAUGAGAUGGAGCACAUUGUUGAUCAACAUAAUAAAUAUUAUAAAUGAUUAUUUUAUAUUCUUUAAUAUAGUAUUGAAGCAAAAAAAAUCACGUUGUGAAUCUAUUAAAAAAUUUCGAGCCGAAAAGUGGAGAAGAGUGUGCAAUUUUAAUAUUAAAAAUAUUAUUUUAUGAUUGUUUAAACUCUAAAAGAUAAACUAUUAUCUCAUAUUCUUUAACACGUCUCUUGUAUAACAAUAUGAGUUGAGCUGGAAUACUAUCGGUAGCAAACGGGCUCCGUUGUCAUUCAUUUGUUUUCGAUAAUAGAGCCUCUAAAUCGACGAUCGGCACCGUUGAAAAUGAUCUAUAUUACUUGAAGUAUCUAGAAAUCAAAUUUCAUACUUUUCCAGUAUUAUUUUCUUGUCCAUCAAGUGUGAGUAAAAAUAAAAGGUUGAAAAUGAAUAUUCUUUAAAAAAUGAUGAUAGGAGUCUUGUAAUCAAGAUCAAGAGUAUAGAUCUUGUUUUAAAUAGUUUAAAGAAUUUUCUAACCAAAAUUCAAUUGAUUUGGAUAGUUUUACACCGUUAAACGAGAAAACCCUUCAUAUCAACCAUUAAAAUUAUAAAUUUUGAAACCCUUUGAUCAUUAGGUAAAUGAUGUCAAAAAGAUUUAAAAUUUGAUUUCUAGAUAUUUCAAGUAAUAUAAAUCAUGUUCAACGGUGUCGAUCGUCGAUUUAGAAGCUCCAUCAUCGAAAACAAAUGGAUAGCAACGGAGCCGGUUUGCUACCGAUAGCAUUCCAGCUCAACACAUAUAUAUAUAUAUAUAUAUAUAUAUAUAUAUAUUCUAUUAGAGAUAUUUGCUUUGAAAUAUAUCUCUCCUACCGACCGUCCCGAGAGCAAGUGGCAAAAGACUUGGUGGCAAGCGGGUAGCGUGCUACCUACCUCUCAAAUAUAUAUAUAUAUAUAUAUAUAUAUAUAUAUAUUCUUAAAUAUUGAUGAAUUUUACUUUCCGCGUGCUUUAAAAUUCACAGCGAAUAAAAUUUAAAUCUAGAAAAUUAUAUGCUUGGGAUAAGACUAGACACAUAAAAAUAUCAUAUUUCUCCACCUUAUCAAAAUAUUAUUAUUUUAAAAUAAUAUUACUGAAUUCUAACGGCGGCGCUCUAAAUAAGACAAUACAUCAAAAUGUCCAAUGGAAUUUUCCACCUAAGUUAUCAAUUUUCGUACUAAAAGCAUAUAUUUUUGGCAUCAUCAUCAAUUGAGCCAGGACAAUCAUAGAAAUUGUCAUCUCAGCGGUGGUUUAUAUGGAGACCGUAGAUGGUGCGGAGAAAUUGGUUAGGGAGGAAUACAACUCGGGUACGGGUAUGGCGGGUGCGGGUACGGAUACGGUUUGUGACGAUAUUUUUUUCAGACCGAUAGGAUGUGGUUAAUUAUAAAAAAUAUUAAUUAAGGCAUUCGAAUUAUCGUUGUAGAUUAGAAAUUUGAGUUUCUGUUCAAAUAAUACUCUUUAAGGAAUUAAUUAUCGCCUCCACUUUGGAUUGAAAAGUAGAAAAUUUUGAAGUGUUUCUCAUGGUACAGAACUUAUCAAUAAUUUUAAUGAAUACGAAAAAAAAAAAAAAAAGCGCGAAAAUAUUACAAUGGUAUUGACGCAUUUCACAGCAUUUUUAGUGAUAGCUUAUAGUUCAGACUUGGAGGGUGUUUGAUUUUUUUAAAAUAUUAAAAAUAUAUAUUUUUUAAAAAAAAUCAUAAUAUUUUUUUUUAUAAAAAAUUAAAAGGAUCAAACGAAUUUGAAAAAAUAAUUUUUUUUUUGGGGAACGAAUGAACGAAAUGUACUUUUCCACCCUGAAAAGUAGUUUCUAGAAUAAGUUUUUAAUUAUCUAUCAGUGCUAUCCUACUUUUUAUUUUAAAACUUAAGUAAUUUAUAUAUGAUGAUUAAAAUUGAAGGGUUUGCCCACUAAUGUAAUUUUCUAGGGGCAUCUGGAAACUUCCAUGUGCACCUUCUAGAAGAAACGGAUAAAAAUCCAGCACUGUUUACAACUCAAGAUCAUGAAUUGAUACCUAAACGCUACGUGGCAAUAUUCUAUUGGUUUGGCGGACCACAGAAGAUAUUUACGUGCCGGCGACGCGGACGGGCACGUGCCCGUUGCCCGUGUCAGUUGGUAUUUUUCGCCUUGCCGACUUUGCCCUUGUAGAAUCUGUAUAUUUACAAAAAUGACACCAACAUGGUGUUAAAAAGAAAAAAAAGAAAAUUAGUUAUUAUAUGGUGAAAACUAAUCAAAAAAAAAAAAAAGGUGUGUAUGUGUAUAUAUGUUCUCCUAUGGUGUCACUCAUUUUACACUCAAAAUUGAAAAAUUAUUACAACAAAAGUUUCUCCACAAUUUAUUAGGGUGAAAGAAGUAUUUACUUUUUUAGGCGGAAUGUUAGUGUGUUAAAAUACAUUAUUUCAUAACUUGUAUAAUUUUUUUAAUAACAUAAUAUUCAUCAUACAAAUUUUAUUUUGUCGAUGCUUUUAAAUAUUUAGACUCUAUUUAAAUACAUAAAUAUUUUAUUUGAUAUAUUUUUUAAUUUAUUUAAAAAAUUAUAUACUUAUAUAAUUGUUAUUGAAUUUAAGUGAACCUAUUUGUAGAAAAAAUAAUAUCUUUCACAUCAUAAUCGUACCCGCUAUUACAAACAAAAAGAAAUUUUUUGUUUUUUUCUUUCUAAAAUAUUGUUCUUACAUACUACUAAUAUAAUGACAAACACAAUAGGGAGAUUUAUUCUUACAGAUUGUUAAUAUAAUAGCAAACACGGUAUGGAGAUUUUUGAUUUGCUAAUAUACGCAGUCCAGAAAUAUUAGUUGGAUAUAUUAUUUGUAAAUCAACAAAUUAUGAGAACAGUACUACCGCAGACAAAAUACAUUUGUUUUUUGUCAAAUUUGUAACUUCUAUUUUUUGUUGCGGAGCAGCUAUCACUCUUGAUCUAAUUAU